UACGUAGGUGGCAAGCGUUGUCCGGAAUUAUUGGGCGUAAAGCGCGCGCAGGCGGCCUCUUAAGUCUGAUGUGAAAGCCCACGGCUCAACCGUGGAGGGUCAUUGGAAACUGGGGGGCUUGAGUGCAGAAGAGGAGAGCGGAAUUCCACGUGUAGCGGUGAAAUGCGUAGAGAUGUGGAGGAACACCAGUGGCGAAGGCGGCUCUCUGGCCCGGUUCGUGACGCUGAGGCGCGAAAGCGUGGGGAGCAAACAGG
rnacentral:rRNA from 1 species